rnacentral:rRNA from 1 species
UGGUGGGUAGUUUGACUGGGGCGGUCUCCUCCUAAAGAGUAACGGAGGAGCACGAAGGUUAGCUAAUCCUGGUCGGACAUCAGGAGGUUAGUGCAAAGGCAUAAGCUAGCUUGACUGCGAGAGUGACGGCUCGAGCAGGUGCGAAAGCAGGUCUUAGUGAUCCGGUGGUUCUGAAUGGAAGGGCCAUCGCUCAACGGAUAAAAGGUACUCCGGGGAUAACAGGCUGAUACCGCCCAAGAGUUCAUAUCGACGGCGGUGUUUGGCACCUCGAUGUCGGCUCAUCACAUCCUGGGGCUGAAGUAGGUCCCAAGGGUAUGGCUGUUCGCCAUUUAAAGUGGUACGCGAGCUGGGUUUAGAACGUCGUGAGACAGUUCGGUCCCUAUCUGCCGUGGGCGCUGGAGAAUUGAGGGGGGCUGCUCCUAGUACGAGAGGACCGGAGUGGACGCAUCACUGGUGUUCGGGUUGUCAUGCCAAUGG